GUCAAUGAUGGUAUCAAGAUUACCUCAAAAUAGAGGUGUUACAAGUGUGAAAUUGAAUUUAGCUAUCUCUGUAGCAUUAAAACAAGUUGCUGGCAAAUUGACAGUUGUUAAAGAAGCAUUGAUAGCUGAUCGGGGCUGAAGCUAUUUGCUAAAGAUGAUUGUUAAGCUGUUGAUAAUUUUUGAGUAGCCAAUAUUGGAUGGGGCAAUGAUGGUAAAGUUGGUAGGAAGACAUCAAAGAACAUACUA
rnacentral:lncRNA from 1 species